GGAAGGGGUGUAUUUAUUAGAUUAAAAACCAAUGCCCUUCGGGGCUCUCUGGUGAUUCAUGAUAACUUCUCGAAUCGCACGGCCUUGCGCCGGCGAUGGUUCAUUCAAAUUUCUGCCCUAUCAACUUUCGACGGCUGGGUCUUGGCCAGCCGUGGUGACAACGGGUAACGGAGGGUUAGGGCUCGACCCCGGAGAAGGAGCCUGAGAAACGGCUACUACAUCCAAGGAAGGCAGCAGGCGCGCAAAUUACCCAAUCCCGACACGGGGAGGUAGUGACAAUAAAUACUGAUACAGGGCUCUUUCGGGUCUUGUAAUUGGAAUGAGUACAAUUUAAAUCCYUUAACGAGGAACAAUUGGAGGGCAAGUCUGGUGCCAGCAGCCGCGGUAAUUCCAGCUCCAAUAGCGUAUAUUAAAGUUGUUGAGGUUAAAAAGCUCGUAGUUGAACCUUGGGCCUAGCCGGCCCGGYCCGACUCACCGCGUGCACUGGCUCGGUUGGKUCUUUUCCUUCUGGAGAACCSCAUGC
rnacentral:rRNA from 1 species